UUGGGCGUAAGGGCUCGCAGGCGGUUUCUUAAGUCUGAUGUGAAAGCCCCCGGCUCAACCGGGGAGGGUCAUUGGAAACUGGGAAACUUGAGUGCAGAAGAGGAGAGUGGAAUUCCACGUGUAGCGGUGAAAUGCGUAGAGAUGUGGAGGAACACCAGUGGCGAAGGCGACUCUCUGGUCUGUAACUGACGCUGAGGAGCGAAAGCGUGGGGAGCGAACAGGAUUAGAUACCCUGGUAGUCCACGCCGUAAACGAUGAGUGCUAAGUGUUAGGGGGUUUCCGCCCCUUAGUGCUGCAGCUAACGCAUUAAGCACUCCGCCUGGGGAGUACGGUCGCAAGACUGAAACUCAAAGGAAUUGACGGGGGCCCGCACAAGCGGUGGAGCAUGUGGUUUAAUUCGAAGCAACGCGAAGAACCUUACCAGGUCUUGACAUCCUCUGACAACCCUAGAGAUAGGGCUUUCCCUUCGGGGACAGAGUGACAGGUGGUGCAUGGUUGUCGUCAGCUCGUGUCGUGAGAUGUUGGGUUAAGUCCCGCAACGAGCGCAACCCUUGAUCUUAGUUGCCAGCAUUCAGUUGGGCACUCUAAGGUGACUGCCGGUGACAAACCGGAGGAAGGUGGGGAUGACGUCAAAUCAUCAUGCCCCUUAUGACCUGGGCUACACACGUGCUACAAUGGACAGAACAAAGGGCUGCAAGACCGCAAGGGUUUAGCCCAAUCCCAUAAAUCUGUUCUCAGUUUCGGAUCGCAGUCUGCAACUCGACUGC
rnacentral:rRNA from 2 species